GCAGUCGAGCGGUAAGGCCUUUCGGGGUACACGAGCGGCGAACGGGUGAGUAACACGUGGGUGAUCUGCCCUGCACUUCGGGAUAAGCCUGGGAAACUGGGUCUAAUACCGGAUAUGACCUCAGGUUGCAUGACUUGGGGUGGAAAGAUUUAUCGGUGCAGGAUGGGCCCGCGGCCUAUCAGCUUGUUGGUGGGGUAAUGGCCUACCAAGGCGACGACGGGUAGCCGACCUGAGAGGGUGACCGGCCACACUGGGACUGAGACACGGCCCAGACUCCUACGGGAGGCAGCAGUGGGGAAUAUUGCACAAUGGGCGAAAGCCUGAUGCAGCGACGCCGCGUGAGGGAUGACGGCCUUCGGGUUGUAAACCUCUUUCAGCAGGGACGAAGCGCAAGUGACGGUACCUGCAGAAGAAGCACCGGCUAACUACGUGCCAGCAGCCGCGGUAAUACGUAGGGUGCAAGCGUUGUCCGGAAUUACUGGGCGUAAAGAGUUCGUAGGCGGUUUGUCGCGUCGUUUGUGAAAACCAGCAGCUCAACUGCUGGCUUGCAGGCGAUACGGGCAGACUUGAGUACUGCAGGGGAGACUGGAAUUCCUGGUGUAGCGGUGAAAUGCGCAGAUAUCAGGAGGAACACCGGUGGCGAAGGCGGGUCUCUGGGCAGUAACUGACGCUGAGGAACGAAAGCGUGGGUAGCGAACAGGAUUAGAUACCCUGGUAGUCCACGCCGUAAACGGUGGGCGCUAGGUGUGGGUUCCUUCCACGGAAUCCGUGCCGUAGCUAACGCAUUAAGCGCCCCGCCUGGGGAGUACGGCCGCAAGGCUAAAACUCAAAGGAAUUGACGGGGGCC
rnacentral:rRNA from 1 species